rnacentral:lncRNA from 1 species
ACAACCAUCACUAAAGGAACUAGCUCAUUUUUCUUCAAAUUUUCAGAUCUGAACUUUGGUUUCAUUGAUCAAUUUUCAGAUCUUAAAGUUCCUAAACCUUCUUCUCCUUGAUCUAUAGUGUCAACCGUAAGCAAUAGCAUCCAAGAAUUGUGACUCAAAGCCUUGCAAAUCAAAGGUUCACCUCAACUGUUAUUUUCUUCGAAUCUACUUGCAUAUUGCUUAAUUCUCAUUGUU